AGUCAGGAAAGUUCACUCUCUCUCUCCUGCUGAUCUGCACAAGAUUUUGGUCGUACCUGAAUAUUACUUCAGCCUUGCAGUCGAACAUUUCCUGAACAGCAGCAGAUGGGAGGGAGGGGGGCGUGUUGUUCUGACAGCUGAGACAAGGGACCAGGCAUUUCUCUGACUCAAACUACAAACAUGGCUGCCACACUUUUGCUCUACACCUUUUUAAAGGUCACAUGUUAUACAAAAUACACUUCACCAUGUUGUUCUAACACUAACAUGUGUCUCUAGUCUGUCUACAAACCCCCCAAUGAUGAGAAAAGUUCAUCCUCUCCGUCUUUUGCCUGCUCCACUUUUUCAGAAAAUGUGUGCUCAAACAGGCCGUUUGGAGAUUUUCCCUUCAUGACAUCACAAAGGGCAGUAACCCCUCCCCCAGGUGGGUGACACUCCCACAGCUAGGUGUUUGUUCUGUCUUCUGAGUCUGCCUUCUCACCGUAAACAAUAGGACAUGGAGCGCGAAAGCCAGAGACACCCAGGCCCUUCCAGAGAGGGGGCGUGGUCAGACACAGCUCAUUUACAUAUUUAAAGGUACAGACACAGAAGCAGCCUGUUCUGAGCUGGGCUGAAAUAGAGGGGUUUAUAGACCAAAUAUGAUCAAAUACAGGAUCAGAGUGGAUUUAGAACAAGAAACUUCACACACAUGUUUUGAGGAGGUCUGAGAAUUAUUUCGACUGGUUGAAUAGGAGGAGAAUAUGUAUCCUUUAAUUAUUUUUUCUUUUCAGAAUAUUUUAAACUUAUUUUAAAGUCACGGUCGCAUGUAUUCUGUUACCACAGACAGUAAGAGGGGGGUUUAAAAAGUGCCUUACACCCACAUGCUCAGCAGGGCGUGACUGAAAUGUUUUAAACCAGUAGGUGAUGUCCCGAUCGCUAUGACUAGUGUGUGUUAACAAACAGUUGAAUACAAGCUGCUGCUUGGAUCAUGGUGGCCUUUAAUUGAUCUGCUCAUGUUUGUAACAUGCAGAGUUACGUGUAUCUAAUCAGUUCACUUUGAUUUGCUACAAAGAGUAGGAGCACUGCUUACUCACAUAAAUGUCAACCCAGUUUAGACAUUAUGCUGAGCUUUUGCUUUUUUUAAGUUACAUAUUGAUUCAAAAUGUUUAUUUUUGGGCCUUUUAUGCCUUUAUUUAUAAAUAGGACAGGCUACAGGUGCCCCGGAUACAUAUUCAUUUGAUAUGUAGUGAUCACGAAGGCAGAGUUGAAUCAUUAUCAGUGCUGCUCAUGCUGAAGAAGUGUAAUACAAUCUGUAAUGCUGUUUGACAUGUUGUUUUCAUAUGAUGAUUAUAUGUUGUGAUAAAACGAGCAGUCGACGACAUUUCAUUUCACACAAGUGACUAAAUUGAAUUUGUUCUUGUUAUGCUUAGAUGACCAGAAGGAUGUGUUCUUGCUCAGACUUUGACAUGUUUGUUCUGUUGUGGACCAAAUAAAAUGUACACUGAGUACUGUUCUGUUUUAA